rnacentral:rRNA from 1 species
UACAGAGGUCUCAAGCGUUGUUCGGAUUCAUUGGGCGUAAAGGGUGCGUAGGCGGCGCGGUAAGUCGGGUGUGAAACCUCGGAGCUUAACUCCGAAACUGCAUUCGAUACUGCGGUGCUUGAGGACUGGAGAGGAGACUGGAAUUUAUGGUGUAGCAGUGAAAUGCGUAGAGAUCAUAAGGAAGACCAGUGGCGAAGGCGGGUCUCUGGACAGUUCCUGACACUGAGGCACGAAGGCCAGGGGAGCAAACGGG